GCAGCCGCCACGGGAAUACGGAGGGGGCUAGCGUUGUUCGGAAUUACUGGGCGUAAAGCGUACGUAGGCGGCUUUGUAAGUUAGAGGUGAAAGCCUGGUGCUCAACACCAGAACUGCCUUUAAGACUGCAUCGCUUGAACGUCGGAGAGGUGAGUGGAAUUCCGAGUGUAGAGGUGAAAUUCGUAGAUAUUCGGAAGAACACCAGUGGCGAAGGCGGCUCACUGGACGACUGUUGACGCUGAGGUACGAAAGCGUGGGGAGCAAACAGGAUUAGAUACCCCGGUAGUCCCUGUCUCUUAUAC
rnacentral:rRNA from 1 species